rnacentral:rRNA from 1 species
AUUGAACGCUGGCGGCAGGCUUAACACAUGCAGGUCGAGCGGGGGAAGGUAGCUUGCUACCGGACCUAGCGGCGGACGGGUGAGUAAUGCUUAGGAAUCUGCCUAUUAGUGGGGGACAACAUCUCGAAAGGGAUGCUAAUACCGCAUACGUCCUACGGGAGAAAGCAGGAGAUCUUCGGACCUUGCGCUAAUAGAUGAGCCUAAGUUGGAUUAGCUAGUUGGUGGGGUAAAGGCCUACCAAGGCGACGAUCUGUAGCGGGUCUGAGAGGAUGAUCCGCCACACUGGGACUGAGACACGGCCCAGACUCCUACGGGAGGCAGCAGUGGGGAAUAUUGGACAAUGGGGGGAACCCUGAUCCAGCCAUGCCGCGUGUGUGAAGAAGGCCUUAUGGUUGUAAAGCACUUUAAGCGAGGAGGAGGCUACUUUAGUUAAUACCUAGAGAUAGUGGACGUUACUCGCAGAAUAAGCACCGGCUAACUCUGUGCCAGCCGCCGCGGUAA